rnacentral:rRNA from 1 species
GAUGAACGCUAGCGAUAGGCUUAACACAUGCAAGUCGAGGGACCGGCGCACGGGUGCGUAACGCGUAUGCAACUUGCCUCACAGAGGGGGAUAACCCGUCGAAAGACGGACUAAUACCGCGUACUGUGAGAUAGGCAUGCGUCCCAUUAGCUAGUUGGUGAGGUAACGGCUCACCAAGGCAACGAUGGGUAGAGGAACUGAGAGGUUGAACCCCCACACUGGUACUGAGCAACGGACCAGAAGCCUACGGGAGGCAGGGGUGAGGAAUAUUGGUCGAUGGGCGAGAGGCUGAACCAGCCGAGUCGCGUGAAGGAUGAGUGGCUAUGGAUUGUAAACUUCUUUUGUAGGGGAAUAGGUACCCUACGAAUAAGCAUCGGCUAACUCCGUGCCAGCAGCCGCGGUAAUAC